rnacentral:rRNA from 1 species
GGAUGAGAAUCUUCGGCAAUGGGCGCAAGCCUGACCGAGCGACGCCGCGUGCGGGAUGAAGGCCUUCGGGUUGUAAACCGCUGUCGUAGGGGAGCAAGGGGAAACCUUGAGCGAUCCUAGGAGGAAGGACCGGCUAAGUUCGUGCCAGCAGCCGCGGUAAUACGAACGGUCCAAACGUUAUUCGGAAUCACUGGGCUUAAAGAGUCCGUAGGCGGCUUGGAAAGUGGGGUGUGAAAUCCCUCGGCUUAAC